rnacentral:rRNA from 1 species
GACAGAGGCCCCAAGCGUUAGGCGGAAUCACUGGGCUUAAAGCGUGUGUAGGCGGAUCGUUAAGUGUCUUGUGAAAUCCCACGGCUCACCCGUGGAACUGCUGGGCAUACUGGCGAUCUUGGGCCAACUAGGGGCAGUCGGAACAAGCGGUGGAGCGGUGAAAUGCGUAGAUAUCGCUUGGAACGCCGAAGGUGAAAACAGCUAGCUGGGGAUGUGCCGACGCUGAGACACGAAAGCCAGGGGAGCGAACGGGG